rnacentral:rRNA from 1 species
GACGAACGCUGGCGGCGUGCUUAACACAUGCAAGUCGAACGGAAAGGCCCUGCUUUUGUGGGGUGCUCGAGUGGCGAACGGGUGAGUAACACGUGAGUAACCUGCCCUUGACUUUGGGAUAACUUCAGGAAACUGGGGCUAAUACCGGAUAGGAGCUCCUGCUGCAUGGUGGGGGUUGGAAAGUUUCGGCGGUUGGGGAUGGACUCGCGGCUUAUCAGCUUGUUGGUGGGGUAGUGGAUUACCAAGGCUUUGACGGGUAGCCGGCCUGAGAGGGUGACCGGCCCCAUCAGGCUUGAGAUACGGCACAGACUCCAAUGGGAGGCAGCGGUGGGGAAUAUUGUACAGUGGGCGGAAGCCUGAUGCAGCACAGCCGCGUGCGGGAUGACGGCCAUCGGGUUGUAAUCCGCUUCCGCUUGUGACGAAGCGUGAGUGACGGUACCGGGUAAAGAAGCACCGGCUAACUACGUG